rnacentral:rRNA from 1 species
UCUGUGUUGGUAGAAAACGCAAUUACCCUGGGGAGGGCGGCCCCAGGUUAACCCUCAAGGGAAUUGAGGGGACCCGCUCACCACGUGCGAUGUAGCUUAAUUUGUUGCAAGCGAAAAACCUCACUUGAUCUUGACAUGUACGGCACUCCCCAGAGAUGGCUGGGUGCGAAAGGGAGCCGUAACACAGGUGCUGCAUGGCUGUGUCAGCUCAGUCGUGAGAUGUUGGGUUAAGUCCUGCAACGAGCGCAACCCUUGCCUUAGUGCCAUCAUUAAGUUGGGCACUCUAAUGGGACUGCCGGUGACAAACCGGAGGAAGGUGGGGAUGACGUCAAGUCCUCAUGGCCUUAUGCCAGGGCUUCACACGUCAUACAAUGGUCGGUACAGAGGGUAGCCAAGCCGCGAGGUGGAGCCAAUCUCAUAAAACCUUUAAUAGUCCGGAUCGCACUCUCAACUCGAGUGCGGAAGUCGGAAUCGCUAGUA